GGCAUAUGGAGGUUCCCAGGCUAGGGGUCGAAUCGGAGCUGCAGCUGCCAGCCUACAUCACAGCCACAGCAACGCCAGACCCAAGCCACGUCUGUGACCCACACCACGGCUCAUGGCAACACCGGAUCCUUAAGCCACGAAGCGAGGUCAGGGAUCAAACCUACAUCCUCAUGAAUCCUAGUUGGGUUCAUUAACUGCUGAGCCACGAAGGGAACUCCAAGAUAUCAUAUUUUCUUUUGCAACUAAAUUGAGGAGACAAUUUAAGAUCAGGUGGAUAUACUGCUCCUGAUUAAAAAUUUCCCUUUAGAUUUAGCAUCUAUUGACGAUUCUUCUCUUCUUUAGUCUUUACUCUGAUGGUUUCAAACUGAUGACAUUUAAUUCCAUCCUUCCCUCCACCUUUAUCAGUUGGCACUCAGCAUUCGACCAUAAGCAAAUGCUCAUUCCUUCUCCCCUGGUAAUUUAUCUGUUUUAUUAUUGAAUGGACUCAUGGGUAUCCAUUUCCUCAAUGGUUUACACUCAUUAUGAUAUCUAAUUACUUUGGUGCUCAAAUUGCCCCAGAUUUGGCAAGCGGGAGACCCUUCAAGCUAGAACCUGUGUCCUUGUGACAUGCCCGCAUACUUUUUGUCAGGGCUUCCUUACUUUCUGGCAUAAUGAGAUGUUGCAGGUUCAUCUUAUAUCUACCACGCUCAGCUCUGAAAUCAGCCAUUUCUCUUAAGAGCCUUGGUUUCUGUCAGUGGGAAUGUUAUUAGUGAUCAAGAUUUGGACGUUAGGUGUGUUCACUGCUACUGGGGGAUAAUCUGGGGGGAGUUAACACCCUCUCAAUGGAAAGAGCUAGGAAAUACAUGAAUGUAAAUGUAUCCACAUGCACACACAUACAGACAUGCAUGUGGACUUACAUAAGCAGGGACACACAUAGAUUUCAGAAAUCAUGAGUUUAUCACACCAGGACCUCCAAUUCUAACCAUUCCCACAGAGUUCUUUCUUGCCUUCCUCUACGCCAUAUAUUGACGUGCUUUCUUGCACAGUGAGAUCCUGGCUCUCCACAUCACCUCAUUUACCAAUUUGCUCAGUCCUAUAAUAUAUCUAAAAUAGGCUCAGAAUUGCUUGUAUAUAGUACUAUACAAAAAGCCUACUGAAAAAAAAGAGGUCAAGUCUUGUUUGCAAUUCUCUUUCCCAACCUAAGAGUGAGGGUACAAUCAAAUCCUAUGUUCAUAAGUCACCUGGAUUAGUCCUUUUGCUUUAUUUUCCCUUCAGUUUGGUUACGGUAUUCAUCUACAUGCAACGAGGUUCAUUUGUUUCCAUUUGCUUUUAGUUUUAGGCUCCUCCUUCCCAUCCUUGUUAAUUUAAUUUUUUAUAUAUGCAGGUCACUAUGCUUCCAAAAGUCAAAACUUUACAAACACAUUAGCUCAGAAAAGUGUUACUUUUUCAUUUGUUGUUUGCCUUUUACCCUAGUCCCUACCAUGCCCAAUUUCAUUGUUUUUUGGAUUUGUCCUUCCUAUGUGUCUACUUGUAAAGAUAAGCAGAUACACGUAUGCUUUCUUAUUUUCUCUUCUUUCUUUCACAGAAAGUAGCAUAUUAUAUGGAUGCACUUUAACGCAUCUUAUUUCUUGAUGUUUAUAAGUAGGUGGUGGAUGGAGAAGGAGAAAGAGGAGCGUCAUAGGUAGGAGACUGAACUUUACGAUCAUCAUUCCUCAGACUUUACUGAGUAUCUCCUGCAAUUUGUACCAUAUCCACAUGCUACAUGUAUUAUUAUUUACUUAACAUUUUUUCGUUUGUGUUGAUUCAUAUUUUGGUCGUAAGAAAAAUUUAAAAGAACACUUUACAUCACUAUCAUAAAUGGGAAACCAUUCUCACUUGUUAUAAAUAGAAGAUAACUCAAAUACAAGCACCACAUGAGAUGUUCUUUUCGUCAUCACAAAGACUAUAAAGGAAUAGUUUCCUUCCAACACGAUUUAGUGUUCAAUGGUGCAUCUGGGUACUAACUAAACCUGUAUCUCAUACCACUUCAUAUGGCCUCUGUACUUUGAGGAUUCCAUCCACCCUGGGAUUAGUUUGUGACUUCAGCCAAGAGUUGAGUGAUGAUGACUGUGGCCUGGAAUAGUGUUAAGUGGUAUAUGUGUACAAGGAAGCACCUAUAACAGAAGUUUCAGCCAAGUAUUAGCCUCUUUAUGAGAGAUUAUCAGUAUACACACGGGCUCUAUGUCCUGGACUGGUCAGGAGGGUCCCAUGGCCAAGUGUUGGAUUUGGCUGGUGAGGCCGGGAGAGCCUUGAAGGACUGGGCAAUUUGCUUACACAGCCACAAGGAUGGUUCAUUUUCCUCAUCACCAGGUAUCUUCAUCCAUUAAUGGGUUUCCUUAAGGUUGGCUUUUGAUGAGUUCUGCAUCAGGACAUUGUUAAAUUUCUUGAUUCUGCAUAUGAUGACUUCUGAUUGAAUUUGCAAAACCACACUUUGGGCUUGCACUUGUGUUCAUUCUAUUUAUAGUUCUUAAGAGUUGCACAAAAAUUAUAACCUUCCUAAGUUUGAAAAGUUUAAGUGAAGUGACUUCUAAUAUUUACUCACAGGAUUUGAAACAUGAAUAAUAAAACAUAUUUGCUUGUCUUGGACUUUCUUAAUGAAGAUAUAAACCUAGUGAACUCAACAAAUGUUUUUAAAAGCAUCCAAUACAUGCAAGGACAGGGGCUGGCCUUUCAAGUGAUAUUAAAAUGUGUGAAUUUCCCUCACUUGGGAGAAUAAAAGAAAAACCUAAGUAACUGUAACCAAGCCAAAUGAAUUAAAUGCUAUUAAGUGAGAUAUUCUUCUUCUUUUUGAUCUGUCAAUGGAACAUUUUACAAAGUUUUCCAUUUAUAGUGAAAUUAAACAGCAGGGAGUUCCCACUGUGGUGUAGCAGAAACGAAUUCAACUAGUAUCCAUGAGGAUGAGGGUUCGAUCCCUGGCCUUGCUCAGUGGGUUAAGGAUCUGGCAUUGCUGUGGCUGUGGUGUAGGCUGGCAGCUGUAGCUCCAAUUCAACCCCUAGCCUGGGAACUUCCAUAUGCUGCAAGUGUGGCCUUAAAAAAGGCAAAAAAAAAAAAAAAAAUUAAAUAGCAAAUAUAAAUUGUGGUUCAGAACACAGACACACACACGCUUGGUUUAAGUUUAUUUUGAUAAUCAGACAAUGCCUCAUAGGUGAUGAGAAUCAUUUCAGCAAAAAGAAAUGUGUUAUGAUUAUAUCUUUGUGAUGGGACUCAAAUUAUAAUUCUGAUUUCAUGGAGGUAGGGAAAUGGGGAGGUGAGGAAAAGACCCUGGAAAGAUGAGCAAAUUGCUGCACAUCACAAAGCAGACCAGUGGUAGAGAUGGCUUGAUGGUUUACACUCCCCAAGAUGCCACAGUUGUUUAUUUCGUAAAAAUCCCCAUUGAUUUGGUCUCUGGGUGUAAGGCAUCUGCCU
rnacentral:lncRNA from 1 species